GUGAGGAAUUUUCCGCAAUGGGCGAAAGCCUGACGGAGCAAUGCCGCGUGAAGGAUGAAGGCCUAUGGGUUGUAAACUUCUUUUCUCAGAAAAGAAUUAUGACGGUAUCUGAGGAAUAAGCAUCGGCUAACUCUGUGCCAGCAGCCGCGGUAAGACAGAGGAUGCAAGCGUUAUCCGGAAUGAUUGGGCGUAAAGCGUCUGUAGGUUGUUUAAAAAGUAUUCUGUCAAAGAUUAGGGCUUAACCCUAGAUAGGCAGAAUAAACUUUUAAGCUAGAGUUUGGUAGAGGCAGAAGGAAUUCCCGGUGGAGCGGUGAAAUGCGUAGAUAUCGGGAGGAACACCAAAGGCGAAGGCACUCUGCUGGGCCAAUACUAACACUGAGAGACGAAAGCGAGGGGAGCAAAUGGGAUUAGAUACCCUAGUAGUCC
rnacentral:rRNA from 1 species